rnacentral:rRNA from 1 species
UACGGGGGGGGCAAGCGUUGUUCGGAAUUACUGGGCGUAAAGGGCUCGUAGGCGGCCAACUAAGUCAGACGUGAAAUCCCUCGGCUUAACCGGGGAACUGCGUCUGAGACUGGCAAGCUUGAGUGCAGGAGAGGAACGCGGAAUUCCAGGUGUAGCGGUGAAAUGCGUAGAUAUCUGGAGGAACACCGGUGGCGAAGGCGGCGUUCUGGACUGUAACUGACACUGAAGAACGAAAGCCAGGGGAGCAAACGGG